UCAUCAGAGUCAUGUGGAGAGUCACUACCAACGCCUUGGAGGGAAAUACCAAUAUUGGACUCAAAACCCAUACAGUGAAUUGGUUAGAAAGUUUGGAUGAAGCACAUCCUGAACAUAUAUGGUAAAUUCUGGUGAAGAAACAGCUCGGUCCUGAAAAUAUAUACUUUAGAACAUUCAAUAAACUUAGUCAAAUGA